rnacentral:rRNA from 1 species
GACGAAGGAUGCAAGCGUUAUCCGGAUUCAUUGGGCUUAAAGGGCGCGUAGGUGGCCUUAUAAGUCAGCGGUGAAAUCUCUGGGCUUAACCCAGAAAUUGCCAUUGAUACUGUAGGGCUUGAGUACAGUUGCUGUGGGCGGAAUAUGACAUGUAGUGGUGAAAUACAUAGAGAUGUCAUAGAACACCGAUUGCGAAGGCAGCUCACAAAACUGUAACUGACACUGAGGCUCGAAAGUGCGGGGAUCAAACAGG